AGGUUGAGAUCAAUUGCAAUGCUUUGUUUUCUGUGGUAUUGCACUUGUCCCAGCCUGU
rnacentral:pre_miRNA from 1 species